AAUGAACGCUGGCGGCGCGCCUAAUACAUGCAAGUCGAGCGAGAAGACGUAGCAAUACGUUUGUAAAGCGGCGAACGGGUGAGGAAUACAUGGGUAACCUACCCUAGAGUGGGGAAUAACUAGCCGAAAGGUUAGCUAAUACCGCGUACGCUCCUUGGACUUCGGUUCAGGGAGGAAAGCGAUGCCGAGGGUAUCGCGCUCUUGGAUGGACUCAUGUCCUAUCAGCUUGUUGGGAGGUAACGGCUCACCAAAGCUUCGACGGGUAGCUGGUCUGAGAGGACGAUCAGCCACACUGGCACUGCGACACGGGCCAGACUCCUACGGGAGGCAGCAGUAAGGAAUAUUGCGCAAUGGGCGAAAGCCUGACGCAGCGACGCCGCGUGGGGGAGU
rnacentral:rRNA from 1 species